rnacentral:rRNA from 1 species
GAUCAUGGCUCAGGAUGAACGCUAGCUACAGGCUUAACACAUGCAAGUCGAGGGGAAACGACAUCGAAAGCUUGCUUUUGAUGGGCGUCGACCGGCACACGGGUGAGUAACGCGUAUCCAACCUGCCCACCACUUGGGGACAACCUUGCGAAAGUAAGACUAAUACCCAAUGACGUCUCUAGAAGACAUCUGAAAGAGAUUAAAGAUUUAUCGGUGAUGGAUGGGGAUGCGU